GUUGAGUUAGCUUAUUAGUCUAAGUUUAUAAGUUUAUAAGUUUAGUUAGUUUAUUAGUCUGUUGGGACUUUAAAUUCUGUUUCAUACUUCUUAGUUUUCUAGGAAGUUGAGUUUUUGUUUAUUGGGCUGAUUUGUGUCCUGUUUUCUUGUAAAAUUCAAGAAGAUUUGUAUUGAAUAGAUAGUAGGAAUAUUCACGCACUCAGCUUCAUUGACUUUAUUAUAAAGUCAAAAUGCUUCACACUAGUUAUUACAACCUGAAACUAGACAUGUUUGGGAAGUCACAUGCAUGAUCAUGGAAAGGAGGAGCUAUAGAGUCAAGAAGAACUGUGUUUUUGUACCUAUGUGGUCUUAUUUUAUGUUGCUAAGCCUCAGUUUUCUCCUAGGUGAAAUGAGAUAUUAAUAUAUCUAAGGAUUAGUGAAGUUACAUAUGUCAAGUCUUCAAUGAUGCAUUUAUUGAAACCCAUUAUGGUUGAAAAAUGACAGAUGAACAGGACUGGUAGCAAGUGGAAACAAAACUCCUUUUUAAUUCAAAUACCUUUCCCCAUAACAGGGAAAUGAAAACUAUAUUAGCAAGCAGGCAUAUUCAUAAAAUACUUUAUGUCAAUAAAAAUGAUCACAGAAUCCCUUACAAUAAAAUUAUAUAAAGCAGAAUUGUUUCUUAGAAUAUUGAAUAUAUCUUCAACCUUUGCAAGCCUUUUAUGUACUAGCUAUUAAACAUUAAGUAUUCAAAAGCAUAGGAAUUAUGAGAACACCCAGGAAAAUAUUAAGUGUUAAGUGUGGUAUAUUUUGGAUGAAGUAGAACACAAUUUCACACUGACUCAGACACUUCUUUCUCUGAAUUAAAAAAAAAUAUACAGAUAUGAUCUUAAAAAAUUAGAGAAUGAGUUUUUAGGACAAUUAGAUAAUUUUUUUAUUUCCAACAUCUUUAAUACAUUUAUAAAACACUGCUUAACAGAUAACAAUGGGUUGUUAAUUUCAAAAUGUUUAGACUUUUAAAUAGUUGCCUAAGAAUAGAUUCCAAUAUACACUUUCUUUGAUCAUAUCAUACACCUGAAUAUAAUAAUGAAACAUUGUUUUAUUAAGGAUGGUUAUAUAAUAAAGCCUUUCCAAUAAUUUAUAAUAGCCUAAUUAUUGAUAUUUUCAACUGAUGGCUUUUAAUUAUAUAAUUGGAAAGUAAUCCUUGGGACUCAAAUUGAAGUAUUAUUAUCUAUUCUUUUACAAGCUAUUAUUUUUCUUAUUAGCUCCUUGUUAUAAAAAUUUUAAAAUUUCAUUAAUUCGGUAAAAGAAAUUUAAUAAAGUAUAACAAAAU
rnacentral:lncRNA from 1 species